GCAGCCUCACCAGAGGAGGUGGGGAAAGACUGAGAGGCACACAAAGAGUCUGUGAAGCAACAGUCACUCCCAGGCAGGACUGUCAGAGGGAAAACAGCCAUGGAGGCAGACAAACUCAAGUGAGGCACACAGUCAAACGGCACAGCAGAUAACUUGUGUGUGUGUAUAUGUGUGUCUCUCCUAAAAACCACCAAAAAGAAGAGAACAAGCCUGAGGUCCAAACUGAGGAAACAAAGGAGGAGAUAAAAAGGCACAAAGGAGGGAGGGUUAAAAAGGACCGGAACAGAGGAGCAGUGAAUGGGAUUUGUUUUUGUGAGUCAUCAACAACUUCCUCAACUCCAUGUGCAGACUAUCACCUGUACCUGAGGAAUUAUCCCUGCUAACCCUAAUCUCGACCUGACUGCUAAUCUCAGGCAGUGUCUGAGUGCUCCUCCUCUGAGUGACGUACUCCACGUUCCCACAAAAAACCCAACAGGCCGACGAGUAAGGCGCUCAGCAGUUAGUCUGGGCUUGGCUGAGUGCGUGAAAACAACAAAGACUCCCACAGGAUGGAUGCCAGAGAAGAGACGCUGAACCUCCUGAACAGGAUAUGGCUAAAGCUGCAGGGUCUGCCCAAUGCCAACUCUAUAGAGCUGGGAGCUUUCUUUGUCCUGUUGACCUUCAUCUUGUUGGUCCUGCUCAUGUCGGUGCUGACCUGCGCGACCUGCUGCUGCUGCUGCUGUCGCAAGACCAAGAUGAAGGGGGAAUCGAACAUUUGAGCCAAUGAGCUUCACACAAAGAGAAUUAUUUACACAGGCAAUCUCUGGAUAUUUGACUCCCACACUGGGCAUCCAAGCACAGGAGAUGGUGCCCAAAAACAAAAAAAGUAACAAAAAAAGAAAACAAACACAAAGGCAGGCUUUCUCUGCAGCCCUCUCACGCACCAUGAAUUCUGAGAGUCAUGGUCGUGUAAUUCACAGGCAGACAUUCAAGCUGUAGCACGGCGGAACCUCACGCAGGGUGUGUUCAGCGUCACUGAAGAGGCCAAACCCUUGAACAACAAAGCACCUGACAAACACAGAGAAGGAUGUCCUGACCGGCUGCCAGACACACCUGCCAAAGUAGCUAGGUUUUCAGGAGAAUCCACAUUCCUUGGAGCAUCCCUGCGCUCCACAGGGCAACAACACCACCAACGCCCUCGACCUGAGGAGAACACACUGCCAACCCCAAAUGCAAAAUAAAAAAUAUGUGGGCGCGUGAGCUGAAAAAGUAUGUAGGAUCAUUUUGGAAAAAAAACUUCAGAACACUCAACUACACAGUGAGAUACGACGGGGGGAGCCACAUUAUUUUGUUAUGUUUUUCUAAACCUGACUAUGUGUCAUUCUUGAGGAAUGAGAAUUGGCUAGUCAGACUUGGAGUUAGGUUAGAUCCUCCUAAGGGGGGAAGCUGUUUUUAAAACUGAGAGUGUUCCUUGUUAUACUGUACAACAAAGGAUAAAGAGAGGUCAAGUCUGCCCUCUGCUGUGCAUUAUGUGAAACCGCAUGUAAUGCUCUGUUUAAUGUAUAAACCUGCAUGUUGUAUUUGUGCAAAGGGUAAAGACAUCAUGUGACGAUGUUGAAGCUUUGACUUUUACACUUAUUGUACUACUUACUUUGAUUUGUAAGCAAUAAAGAAGAAGUGAUUUGCA